rnacentral:rRNA from 1 species
GUACACAAAAAUGCACAUAUUGUGAGCUCGAUGAGUAGGGCGGGACACGUGGUAUCCUGUCUGAAUAUGGGGGGACCAUCCUCCAAGGCUAAAUACUCCUGACUGACCGAUAGUGAACCAGUACCGUGAGGGAAAGGCGAAAAGAACCCCGGCGAGGGGAGUGAAAAAGAACCUGAAACCGUGUACGUACAAGCAGUGGGAGCCUCUUUAUGGGGUGACUGCGUACCUUUUGUAUAAUGGGUCAGCGACUUAUAUUCUGUAGCAAGGUUAACCGAAUAGGGGAGCCGAAGGGAAACCGAGUCUUAACUGGGCGUUAAGUUGCAGGGUAUAGACCCGAAACCCGGUGAUCUAGCCAUGGGCAGGUUGAAGGUUGGGUAACACUAACUGGAGGACCGAACCGACUAAUGUUGAAAAAUUAGCGGAUGACUUGUGGCUGGGGGUGAAAGGCCAAUCAAACCGGGAGAUAGCUGGUUCUCCCCGAAAGCUAUUUAGGUAGCGCCUCGUGAAUUCAUCUCCGGGGGUAGAGCACUGUUUCGGCAAGGGGGUCAUCCCGACUUACCAACCCGAUGCAAACUGCGAAUACCGGAGAAUGUUAUCACGGGAGACACACGGCGGGUGCUAACGUCCGUCGUGAAGAGGGAAACAACCCAGACCGCCAGCUAAGGUCCCAAAGUCAUGGUUAAGUGGGAAACGAUGUGGGAAGGCCCAGACAGCCAGGAUGUUGGCUUAGAAGCAGCCAUCAUUUAAAGAAAGCGUAAUAGCUCACUGGUCGAGUCGGCCUGCGCGGAAGAUGUAACGGGGCUAAACCAUGCACCGAAGCUGCGGCAGCGACACUAUGUGUUGUUGGGUAGGGGAGCGUUCUGUAAGCCUGUGAAGGUGGCCUGUGAGGGUUGCUGGAGGUAUCAGAAGUGCGAAUGCUGACAUAAGUAACGAUAAAGCGGGUGAAAAGCCCGCUCGCCGGAAGACCAAGGGUUCCUGUCCAACGUUAAUCGGGGCAGGGUGAGUCGACCCCUAAGGCGAGGCCGAAAGGCGUAGUCGAUGGGAAACAGGUUAAUAUUCCUGUACUUGGUGUUACUGCGAAGGGGGGACGGAGAAGGCUAUGUUGGCCGGGCGACGGUUGUCCCGGUUUAAGCGUGUAGGCUGGUUUUCCAGGCAAAUCCGGAAAACCAAGGCUGAGGCGUGAUGACGAGGCACUACGGUGCUGAAGCGACAAAUGCCCUGCUUCCAGGAAAAGCCUCUAAGCAUCAGGUAACAUCAAAUCGUACCCCAAACCGACACAGGUGGUCAGGUAGAGAAUACCAAGGCGCUUGAGAGAACUCGGGUGAAGGAACUAGGCAAAAUGGUGCCGUAACUUCGGGAGAAGGCACGCUGAUAUGUAGGUGAAGCGACUUGCUCGUGGAGCUGAAAUCAGUCGAAGAUACCAGCUGGCUGCAACUGUUUAUUAAAAACACAGCACUGUGCAAACACGAAAGUGGACGUAUACGGUGUGACGCCUGCCCG